AUUGAACGCUGGCGGCAUGCCUUACACAUGCAAGUCGAACGGCAGCACGGGAGCAAUCCUGGUGGCGAGUGGCGAACGGGUGAGUAAUGUAUCGGAGCGUGCCCAGUCGUGGGGGAUAACGUAGCGAUAGCUACGCUAAUACCGCAUACGAUCUAUGGAUGAAAGCGGGGGAUCGCAAGACCUCGCGCGGUUGGAGCGGCCGAUAUCAGAUUAGGUAGUUGGUGGGGUAAAGGCCCACCAAGCCUGCGAUCUGUAGCUGGUCUGAGAGGACGACCAGCCACACUGGAACUGAGACACGGUCCAGACUCCUACGGGAGGCAGCAGUGGGGAAUUUUGGACAAUGGGCGCAAGCCUGAUCCAGCAAUGCCGCGUGCAGGAUGAAGGCCUUCGGGUUGUAAACUGCUUUUGUACGGAACGAAACGGCUUUUUCUAAUACAGAGAGCUAAUGACGGUACCGUAAGAAUAAGCACCGGCUAACUACGUGCCAGCCGCCGCCGUAA
rnacentral:rRNA from 1 species